AGCUUAAAGGAAAGAAAUUGGGAUCCAGGCCAAUGCAUGAACAACAGUGCAAUGUUUCACAAAUGUCUACUAGCAUGGAAACCGGAAACAUAACUCUCCUAACAGUUAUCAGAUUCCUCCUCCCACAUUCUUUGAAUCCACGAACGUGUCUUCUUAAGGACUAUCCCAAAUACUGAUAAAUUGCUCAUCUAGAUGCUGAAAACCAAGCUGAAACAUGUGCAUUUUUGUCAGAAUCAUAUGCCAAUUAUAGAAUAGAUGCCUGAGAAUUAUAGAAGAGGCAAAGAAGUUAACCUUGGUACAUGGACUUACAGCAGAGUGGAGAUGAGCAGAUUCUAAUUAUUUGAUGAUUGACAUACCUUGGACUCAUCUCCAUCCAUCUGAUUGGGUAAUGACUUCUGUGGAGUAUGGAAGGCCUGUAAUGAGAAUCAAGUACCCUGAGUUGAAUCAAGUAACCUUGACUGAGACUAUGUGAAUAUGUGCAAUACCUUCCCAUCCAACCAUACAGGAUAACUAGGAUAGGGUCUUCUUUUGCCUGCCAGCCCCAGCCUGAUGUUCUCCAAGGCCAUGUUUUGGAUGCUAUUGAGGGAAAAGUUGGAGAAGUUUCUAUUGAAGUUUUGUUCUGAAAAUAUGUUCUGGACUGCAUUUUUGAACAUCCAACUGACAUCUUGUAAACUUUUCUGAUGUGUGAUUUGUAUGGAAAAAAACAUGUAUUAAAUAAGGGGUUUCCAAACUUGGCAACUUUAAGACUCAACAUGGCUGGCUGAGGAAUUCUGGGAGCUGAAGUCCAUAAGUCUUAAAGUUGCCAGUUUUAAAUGAAUAAAUUAAUAAACAAGCAAGCAUAAGCAGA